rnacentral:rRNA from 1 species
AAGCUCGUAGUUGAAUUUCGGGGUUCUACCAUUGGACGGGCAAUAGUCAGUACUAGUGUGUAGAAUUUCUACCUUCUGGGGAACUAUCAUGUUAUUUAUUUAGCGUGGUAGGAAACCAGGACCUUUACCUUGAAAAAAUUAGAGUGUUCAAAGCAGGCUUACGUCUGAAUACAUUAGCAUGGAAUAAUAAAAUAGGACGGUGGUCCUGUUUUGUUGGUUUCUGAAUCACCGUAAUGAUUAAUAGGGAUAGUUGGG